rnacentral:rRNA from 1 species
AUACGGAGGAUGCGAGCGUUAUCCGGAUUUAUUGGGUUUAAAGGGAGCGUAGGUGGGAUAUUAAGUCAGCUGUGAAAGUUUGGGGCUCAACCUUAAAAUUGCAGUUGAUACUGGUUUCCUUGAGUACGGUACAGGUGGGCGGAAUUCGUGGGGUAGCGGUGAAAUGCUUAGAUAUCACGAAGAACUCCGAUCGCGAAGGCAGCUCACCGGGCCGGAACUGACACUGAUGCUCGAAAGUGCGGGUAUCAAACAGGAUUAGAUACCCUGGUAGUCCGCACAGUAAACGAUGAAUACUCGCUGUUUGCGAUACACUGUAAGCGGCCAAGCGAAAGCGUUAAGUAUUCCACCUGGGGAGUACGCCGGCAACGGUGAAACUCAAAUGAAUU